rnacentral:rRNA from 1 species
AGGACGAACGCUGGCGGCGUGCUUAACACAUGCAGGUCAAGGGGGCCCAGCAAUGGGCAACCGGCGAACGGGUGCGUAACACGUGAGCAAUCUGCCGUUCUUGUGGGGGAUAGCCGGCCCGAACGGCCGGGUAAUACCGCAUACGCUCUUCUGGAGACAUCUCCUAAAGAGGAAACCCUUCGGGGGCAAGACGAGGAGCUCGCGGCCUAUCAGCUAGUUGGUGCGGUCAUGGCGCACCAAGGCGACGACGGGU